ACCAUCAAGCCAUGUGGCAGUAUCAGGAUUAUUUGAAUUGUAAGUAUACUUUCAGAUCAAGUCAGCUGUAUACUGAUCUGUAUUAAUCUUCAGCUCGUCGUUUUGCCGAUCUCACAUAAGUUAAUUUUUGAUGAAACAUGAUGCUUAGCUCAGCUGGUUACCGAUCUACCAUAAGUCACAUCGGUUCAAGACCAAUGUGACCAUAAAAACAUAGAUGGUUAUGUUGCAGCCGGUAUCCAGUUCA
rnacentral:lncRNA from 1 species